rnacentral:rRNA from 1 species
AGGAGGGUGCUAUGCUGCAGUCGAGCGACGCAUGCCCAGUUCGUAAGAACAGGGUAUGACGGAGCGGCGAACGGGUGAGUAACACGUGAGCAACCUGCCCCACAGACCGGGAUAGCCCAAGGAAACUUGGAUUAAUACCGGAUUCCCUCGAACAAUCGCAUGGUUGAUCGAGGAAAGGCCUUUGUGCUGUGGGAUGGGCUCGCGGCUUAUCAGCUAGUUGGUGGGGUAAAGGCCUACCAAGGCAUCGACGAGUAGCUGGUCUGAGAGGACGAUCAGCCACACUGGAACUGAGACACGGUCCAGACUCCUACGGGAGGCAGCAGCAGGGAAUCUUGCGCAAUGGGCGAAAGCCUGACGCAGCAACGCCGCGUGGGGGAUGAAGGCCUUCGGGCUGUAAACCCCUUUCAGGAGGGAAGAAAUUGACGGUACCUCCAGAAGAAGGACCGGCCAACUACGUGCCAGCAGCCGCGGUAAUACGUAGGGUCCUAGCGUUAUCCGGAAUCAUUGGGCGUAAAGAGCUCGUAGGCGGUUCAGCAAGUCGGCUGUGAAAGUCCGAGGCUUAACCUCGGAAUUGCAGUCGAUACUGCUGUGACUCGAGUCCGGUAGAGGAGAAUGGAAUUCUCGGUGUAGCGGUGAAAUGCGCAGAUAUCGAGAGGAACACCAGUAGCGAAGGCGGUUCUCUGGGCCGGCACUGACGCUGAGGAGCGAAAGCGUGGGGAGCAAACAGGAUUAGAUACCCUGGUAGUCCACGCCGUAAACGUUGGAUACUGGUGUGGCGGUUGUCCAACGACUGCCGGUGCCGAAGCUAA